CAUGCGAGUCAUUGUAGCAUACAAGGCGGACGGCUCAGUAACACGUAGUCAACCUAACUCGUGGACGUGGAUAACCUCGGGAAACUGAGAAUAAACCACGAUAGAUCAUAGUGCCUGGAAUGGCUUAUGGUCCAAACAGUUUACUGCCAUGGGAUGGGACUGCGGCCUAUCAGCUUGUUGGUGAGGUAAUGGCCCACCAAGGCGAUUACAGGUACGGGCUCUGAGAGGAGAAGCCCGGAGAUGGGUACUGAGACACGGACCCAGGCCCUAUGGGGCGCAGCAGGCGAGAAACCUUAGCAAUGUGCGAAAGCACGACUGGGUCAGUCCGAGUGAUUCCUGAUAAAGGAGUCUUUUGCUUGUCCUAAAAAGCACAGGUGAAUAAGGGGGUGGGGCAAGUCUUGGUGGUCAGCCCCCCCCGGUUAAUACCCACACCCUCCCAGGGGGCCAGGAAGUUUUUUUGGGGCCUUAAAG
rnacentral:rRNA from 1 species